rnacentral:rRNA from 1 species
AUUGAACGCUGGCGGCAGGCCUAACACAUGCAAGUCGAACGGCAGCGGGGGAUAGCUUGCUAUCCUGCCGGCGAGUGGCGGACGGGUGAGUAAUGCAUGGGGAGCUGCCCAGUCGAGGGGGAUAACAACUGGAAACGGUUGCUAAUACCGCAUACGCCCUUUGGGGGAAAGGUGGGGAACUUCGGUCCUACCGCGAUUGGAUGCGCCCAUGUGGGAUUAGCUAGUUGGUGAGGUAACGGCUCACCAAGGCGACGAUCUCUAGCUGGUCUGAGAGGAUGACCAGCCACACUGGAACUGAGACACGGUCCUGACUCCUACGGGAGGCAGCAGUGGGGAAUAUUGCACAAUGGGGGAAACCCUGAUGCAGCCAUGCCGCGUGUGUGAAGAAGGCCUUCGGGUUGUAAAGCACUUUCAGUCAGGAGGAAGGGGUGAUGGCUAAUAUCCAUCAUCAUUGACGUUACUGACAGAAGAAGCACCGGCUAACUCCGUGCCAGCCGCCGCCGUAA